ACCAGACUCCUACGGGAGGCAGCAGUGGGGGAUAUUGCACAAUGGGGGGAACCCUGAUGCAGCGACGCCGCGUGGGUGAAGAAGCGCCUCGGCGCGUAAAGCCCUGUCAGCAGGGAAGAAAAUGACGGUACCUGAAGAAGAAGCCCCGGCUAACUACGUGCCAGCAGCCGCGGUAAUACGUAGGGGGCAAGCGUUAUCCGGAUUUACUGGGUGUAAAGGGGGCGCAGACGGCGAUGCAGGCCAGGAGUGAAAGCCCGGGGCCCAACCCCGGGACUGCUCUUGGAACUGCGUGGCUGGAGUGCAGGAGGGGCAGGCGGAAUUCCUGGUGUAGCGGUGAAAUGCGUAGAUAUCAGGAGGAACACCGGUGGCGAAGGCGGCCUGCUGGACUGCAACUGACGUUGAGGCCCGAAAGCGUAGGGAGCAAACAGGAUUAGAUACCCCCGUA
rnacentral:rRNA from 1 species